rnacentral:misc_RNA from 1 species
AAAUGCGAUAAGUAAUGUGAAUUGCAGAAUUCAGUGAAUCAUCGAAUCUUUGAAUGCACCUUGCGCUCCUUGGUAUUCCUUGGAGCAUGCCUGUUUGAGUAUCAUGAAAUCUUCAAAGUAAAUCUUUUGUUAACUCAAUUGGUUUCUACUUUGGUAUUGGAGGUCUUUGCAGCUUCACACCUGCUCCUCUUUGUUCAUUAGCUGGAUCUCAGUGUUAUGCUUGGUUCCACUCGGCGUGAUAAGUUAUCUAUCGCUGAGGACACUGUAAAAGGUGGCCAAGGUAAAUGCAGAUGAACCGCUUCUAAUAGUCCAUUGACUUGGACAAUACUUUUAUGAUCUGAUCUCAAAUCAGGUAGGACUACCCGCUGAACUUAAGC